GCCCUGUGGUUCCUGGAAACUGCAGCGUAGUGCAGUGCUUCAGGUUAUUUGAAAGGGCCGACAUCACCCCUGGGACAAUUGCAUGGGGCCUGUCAUACUCCCGAUCAGCCCCCACAGCCCAGUUACAGGCACAUGC